GCCGGGCGCAGUGGCACGUGCCUAUAGUCCCAGCUAUUCAGGAGGCUGAGGCUGGAGGAUCUCUUGCGUCCAGGAGUUCUGGGCUGCAGUGCGCUAUGCCGAUCGGGUGUCCGCACUAAGUUCGGCAUCACUAUGGUGACCUCCCGGGAGCGGGGGACCACCAGGUGGCCUAAGGAGGGGUGAACCGGCCCAGGUCGGAAACGGAGCAGGUCAAAAACUCCCGUGCUGAUCAGUAGUGGGAUCGCACCUGUGAAUAGCCACUGCACUCCAGCCUGGGCAACAUAGGGAGACCCCGUCUCU
rnacentral:SRP_RNA from 1 species